AUUGAACGCUGGCGGCAGGCCUAACACAUGCAAGUCGAGCGGAUGAAGAGAGCUUGCUCUCUGAUUUAGCGGCGGACGGGUGAGUAAUGCCUAGGAAUCUGCCUGGUAGUGGGGGAUAACGUUCCGAAAGGAACGCUAAUACCGCAUACGUCCUACGGGAGAAAGCAGGGGACCUUCGGGCCUUGCGCUAUCAGAUGAGCCUAGGUCGGAUUAGCUAGUUGGUAAGGUAAUGGCUCACCAAGGCGACGAUCCGUAACUGGUCUGAGAGGAUGAUCAGGCACACUGGAACUGAGACACGGUCCAGACUCCUACGGGAGGCAGCAGUGGGGAAUAUUGGACAAUGGGCAAAAGCCUGAUCCAGCCAUGCCGCGUGUGAAGAAGGUCUUCGGAUUGUAAAGCACUUUAAGUUGGGAGGAAGGGCAGUAAGUUAAUACCUUGCUGUUUUGACGUUACCGACAGAAUAAGCACCGGCUAACUUCGUGCCAGCAGCCGCGGUAAAAC
rnacentral:rRNA from 1 species